rnacentral:tRNA from 1 species
GGAAUGUAGCUCAUUUUGGUAGAGUGCUUGCCUAACAAGCAUGAAGCCCUGGGUUUGAUCCCCCAGCUCCA